rnacentral:rRNA from 1 species
AACGAACGCUGGCGGCAGGCUUAACACAUGCAAGUCGAACGGGCGCAGCAAUGCGUCAGUGGCAGACGGGUGAGUAACACGUGGGAACCUUCCUUAAGGUACGGGACAACUCAGGGAAACUUGAGCUAAUACCGUAUACGUCCGAGAGGAGAAAGAUUUAUCGCCUUUAGACGGGCCCGCGUCGGAUUAGCUAGUUGGUGGGGUAACGGCCUACCAAGGCGACGAUCCGUAGCUGAUCUGAGAGGAUGAUCAGCCACACUGGGACUGAGACACGGCCCAGACUCCUACGGGAGGCAGCAGUGGGGAAUCUUGGACAAUGGGGGAAACCCUGAUCCAGCCAUGCCGCGUGAGUGAAGAAGGCCUUAGGGUUGUAAAGCUC